ACUGAUAAACAUGGACGAUACUAUACUGAUUAUUACUAUGUUGUAGUUCAAGAAGAGUCUCGUGCUGACUGGUCAAGUGCAAUUGUUGAAGUCAAAAGAAGCUUCCAAUGCUUUCAAGAGCUCCUCAAUCCUCAGGCUCACUUGAUCAAUGGUGAUGGUGUUGUUCCUGAGGAGUUUGAUGAAUGGAUAUCAACUUCAGCUGAAGGGAAUAUCUUAGAAGCUACUAAUCUAGCAGUUAAUGUUUUGGAGAAUCAUUAUAAGAAUUGUAACUUCAAUACAA